AGCGAACGCUGGCGGCAGGCCUAACACAUGCAAGUCGAACGAACGCUUCGGAGUUAGUGGCUGACGGGUGUGUAACACGUGGGAACGUUCCUGUUUGUUCGGAAUAACUCAUUUAAACUUGUGCUAAUACCGAAUGUGCCCUUCUGGUGCAAGAUUUAUCGUCAUUAUGGCGGCCGGCGUCUGUUUAGCUUUGUGGGGAGGUAACGGCUCACCAAGGCGACGAUCAGUAGCUGGUAUGAGAGGAUGACCAGCCACCCUGCGACUGUGACCAGGCCCAGACUUCUCACGAAGGCAGCAGUGGGGAAUCUGGCGCACUGCGCGAAAGCAUGACGCAGCCAUGCCGCGUGACUGAUGAAGGUCUUAGGAUUGUAAAAUUCUUUAACCGGGGACGUUAAUGCCGGACCCAGGAGAAGAAGCCCCGGCUAACUUCGU
rnacentral:rRNA from 1 species